AAUUUACUACUGUUUUCUUCUUAUUAUCACAUUUUUGUCAGUUCUUAACAUGACAAUUGCUCAAGAGCAUCAAAUUAAAGAUUUGCAAUGUGCUACUCCAAUUUACGAUAUAACAUGCAAGGUGGAUGAAGAUUGUAUGCCUAGUUGUAAGGAUAAAUAUAAAGAUAGAUUCAUGAGCGCGGGUUGUAUAUUAAGUCCAGAUAAAUCUGAUCGUAUCUGUCUCUGCGGUUACUAUUGUUGAAUGUGACCAAUAAUAAGGGUUUAUGUAGCCAAAA